rnacentral:lncRNA from 1 species
AAAAAAAAUUGAGAAGGUAACUACGGACUUCAUUGGUCUAUUGUUAAUACAUAAUGAGACGAUACAGUGAAAGAACUCUCCAAAUGACAAAGCACUAUCUCCAUCUAAGAAUAUCGCUUCUGUUGCAUCAUAGUGAAGUAGUUCCACAGGUGUUUCUGCUCGGACUGACUGGUUCAAAUCUCGGCUGUACUGCCAGGAUUUAAGACACUUUGAAAAUGGGCAAAGCCUCAUUUUUCCUAGGUCAAAAGGAGUUCAAGAUUGGGGAAAUCUGAGGAUUCAGAAGGAUGAUAAAUGUUAGAACAUGGAAUCAGGGUGCUUAGAUUCUUGGUGCCUCAAUUUCUCUGUCAGUUAAAUGCCGUAUGAUCAAAUGACUCUUUUCUCAUUGGCUUGAUGUGAGAAAGAAAUGACUACAUAUAAUAAUCAGCAACAUUCCUGGCACAUAAUGUCACCAGCACUAACACCUGUCCUAGUUCCAGCUCUGGUGAACUCCAGCAGACCUGCUCAAGUGGACAGCAUUAGGGACCUUGUCAGUUUUGCAGUGCUUUUUGCCUGAAGCCACCUCAGGUCCCUCAUGCUGCAGGUAUGCUGAGGGGCCUGGAGGUGACAGGCUGUUUUGCACCCAGGCACACUGAGGCCCGGGUGCUGCAGGGCUGUAAGGGUGGCCGUACUUUACUCUCUCCCAACUCCCCCACCCGUGUCAUUUUUAUUUGUACUUUAUAAAUCCUUUUCACUUUUGCAAGUUCCUUUUGGCCGCAAUCUGAAUGCAGUCCUGUAUGGGAUAAAGGAAUAUCAUAAGUAUAUAUUUUUUAAAACAGCAACACGAUUCAUGACUCUGUUGCAGAAUGUGAAGGAGCAAGUCUCUCAAUUGGCUAAUUGAAUCAAGCUCUGCAAUUUCCUUCUUCCCUGGAGCCUGAUCCUGCAGGACAAGGAUCUAUUUUCAAGUCAAUUACAAUUCCUAAGGGAUAUAAUUACCUACAAAAUCAGCAAAGGAACCCUAUUUCUCUUAUGGUGCAGAGCAAAACCAGUGUGGCUGGAAAGGAGAAAGAAGGAAAGGGGGCUUCAAGCAAGAUCAUGUGCAUUGUCAGACUUCAGAUCAUCCAAGGCCUUGUAAGAUUAGGGGACUUUUUUUUUUUUUUGCAUAAGUCAUAAAGAAAUCACUGUGGGGGAAUCAAACACUAAACAGGUAUGCAAGAUAAUUUCAGAUAAAGUAUAUGAAACAAAAAUGGGAUAGAGCAAGUUUAGAGGAGAUAAUGAUGAGGAAUGUCCUCUCUGAGGAGGUGACAUUUGAACGGAGACCUGAAUGGGACAAAAGGGCUAGUGGAGAAGAGAUCUGAAGAAAGAGCAUUUCAAGCAUUAGAGUAAAUAGGGCAAAAAUCAGGAAGCAGGACUGUGCUGUUUGUUUAAUACACAGAAAGAAAGAAAUGGUUAACUGGAAUUUGGACUCGGGACUUGAGUUCAAAUUCAAAGUUAUUUAUGCUGCCCCCAAAUGCGACUACCUAACUGAGCCUGCUGUUUGCUAAGGAUUAGGGGCUUUCUCUGUUUCACUAGAUGGUAAGUACCUGAGCAUAGGGACCAUGUCUUCCCACUUAUUUCUGCAAACUUAGUAUCUGGGCCCUGUCUAGUACCUGUUAGACUCUCAGUAAAUAUUCAUUGAAUGAAAACAUCUCUACAAUUACAAUACCCUGACUGUAUAUCUACUGUUAAAAUUCUAAGACUAGAAAAAAACAAUUUAAAUGUUGAAAUUCAGUCAGCCAAUUGGUAAUUUAAUAACCCAACUAAAAAAAAAAACCCAGAAGACAAAAUAGUCAAACCAUUUCUAAGAGUAGCUGCAGACUAAAUAACAAGAAAAGAAAAAAAUUAUCUAAAGCAACGCUUCUCAACGUCAGUGCUAUUAGCAUUUGGGGCUGAAUAAUUCUUGGUCAUGGGAGCUGUCCUGAGCAUUAUUUAGUGGCAUCGUUAGUCGCUACUCAAUAGUUACUGGUAGCAUUCCCCUCUUGCGACAACCCAAAAUGUCUGCAGACAUUGCCAGAUGGCCCUAUUGAGAACACUGGUAUGAAAGUAUUAAUGCCAUGCCACUUUCUAAAAUGUUGCAGAAGUUGUUGUGCCACCCAGUGGGUUUUCAGUUGAUUUGUGUGCAAAGUUUUACCAAGAGGUAUGAUAAAUAUGUCC